CAAUAGCGUAUAUUAAAGUUGUUGCAGUUAAAAAGCUCGUAGUUGGAUCUGUGGUGUGCGGUGGGCUCCGGGCACUUGUUGUCUGAGUAGCUCGCCGCUGCCAUCCUUGGGUGGAACCUGUGUGGCAUUAGGUUGUCGUGCAGGGGAUGCCCAUCGUUUACUGUGAAAAAAUUAGAGUGUUCAAAGCAGGCUUAUGCCGUCGAAUAUAUUAGCAUGGAAUAAUGAGAUAGGACUUUUUCGCUAUUUUGUUGGUUUGCGCGAAGAGGUAAUGAUUAAUAGGGACAGUUGGGGGUAUUCGUAUUCCAUUGUCAGAGGUGAAAUUCUUGGAUUUUUGGAAGACGAACUACUGCGAAAGCAUUUACCAAGGAUGUUUUCAUUAA
rnacentral:rRNA from 1 species